AAAGCAAGUCUUCAGCUGUGGAGCAGAAAGACACUUCCUUAUUCAUAAGUCAAUGACAGAAGAUGACGUCGGAGCAGAAUCUGGAUACAAUGGAAGGUGAACAUAAAUGCUUAGAGGCAAGAGAAAACAGAGAGAAAAACAAGUUCCAGUCCAGAUGAGAAAUGCCCGACUACAGUCAGUGUUGAUAUAAAUUCUGAAACAGGUGCGAGUGUAAAUGCUCCUCUAUUGACUGCUAACACCUUCACAGGACCAGUAACCAUUUAUGGCUCAAAUGCUGAAGGAAACGAUAAACAGAAAUCCUCAGAGAUGGCAGAGGAACACAGAGAAAUACAAGAGCUGCAAAACUUUUGGAAACUCACAAAACAAACAUGAAGGAGAAAACAGAAUAUAUUUUUGAGGGCAACAAAGACAAGGAAGCACAACUCAAGGCUGUUUACACAGAUCUGUUCAUCACAGAGGGAGAUAUGAAAGAUGUCAAUCAGGAACAUGAGAUUCUGAAGAUUGAUGAUGCUUUCAAGAGCAAAAAAACACAGGACAAGCCAAUCAAAUGCAGUGAUAUAUUUACCGAACUGAGGAAAAACAGGGAGAAAAAAAUUGUUCUCCUAAGGGGCAUCGCUGGCAUUGGAAAAACUGUCUCUGUGCACAAGUUCAUCCUGGACUGGGCAGAAGGAAAAGCCAAUCAAGAUAUACAGUGUGUGUACCUGCUUCCAUUCAGAGAGAUUAACUUAAUGACAAAUGAAGAUUUCAGUCUCCAUGAGCUUCUGCUGGAAUUUUAUCCUGAAGUGAAGGACCUGGAGAAAUCAAAGCUAUAUAAGGGAUGUAGGCUAGCAUUUAUAUUUGAUGGACUUGAUGAGAGUCGCCUGCCUCUAAAUUUUAAUAGUAGAUCACUGAACACUGUUGAGAAAAAGCAUCUGUGGAUGUGCUCUUUACAAGUCUGGUCAAAGGGACUCUGCUUCCAUCAGCUAUUGUCUGGGUGACUUCACGACCAGCAGCAGCCAAUCAGAUUCCUCCUCGGUAUGUGGGUUUGUUCACAGAGGUGCGAGGAUUCACUGACCAACAGAAGGAGGAGUACUUCAGAAAGAGAUUCACAGAUCAGAGUCUGUCCACCAGAAUCAUUUCACACAUUAAGACGUCUCGUAGUCUCUACAUCAUGUGUCACAUUCCUGUGUUCUGCUGGAUCACAGCCACAGUACUUCAGGAUAUUCUCACUGAGAACAAUGAAGAGAACACAACACUCACUGAAAUGUACAUUCACUUCCUGCUUAUACAGAUGGACAUGAAGAGCCAGAAAUAUGAUGAUCAACAAGAAAGAGAAUGUUCAGAGCGCUUACAAUUAAAUAAAGAGAUUAUUUUAAAGUUAGCCAAGUUAGCAUUUGAACAGCUGAAGAAGGAAAACAUUGUGUUCUAUAAGGAAGAUUUAAAAGAAUGUGGUAUUGACGCGAGUAAAGACACUGAGUUCACAGGAAUGAUCGCUGAGAUCUUCAAAAGGGAAUACAGACUUCAUGGAGCAAAGGUCUUCAGCUUUGUGCAUCUGAGUGUUCAAGAGUUUCUUGCUGCAAUGCAUGUGUUCAUCUGUUACCUGAACAAGAACAUGCAGGAGCUUCAGUUUUUCUUUGAUGAGCCAAAAGAAAAUGUCACAUUGGAGGAGUUACUGCAGAAAGCUAUUGAUAAAGCCAUGAAGAGUAAGAGAGGCAUCUGGAUUUGUUCCUGCGGUUUCUGAUGGGAAUUUCACUGGAAUCCAGUCAAAAUCUGCUCAAAGGCCUGAUCACACACCCUGAAGACACCACAGAGAGCAUCAAAGAAGUAACUAAAUGUAUUAAACAAAAACAAAACACGUACUUUAUCUCAGAUGAAGCUCUAGUCAACUUAUUCUACUGCUUACUUGAACUCAAGGAUAAUUCAUUAUAUGAGGAAAUACAGAGUUACCUCAGUUCAAAUGAACAUCCAGGAAGAGAUCUCUCAUCUUCAAUGUGCACAGUGUUGACCUACAUACUACUGAUGUCAGAGAAGGUGUUAGAUGAGUUCAACCCAAAGAGGUUCACAUCAGAACAAUCAGGUUACAAGAGACUCAUUCCAGCUGUGAGAUGCUGCAGAAAAGCUCUAUUUGACGGCUGUGGUUUUGAUGAAACAUGCUGUGAAACUCUGUCCUCUGCUCUACAAUCAUCAAACCAUCUGACAGAGCUGAACCUGAGGACCAAUCAUCUGCAGGAUUCAGGAGUGAAGCUGCUUUCUGAUGGACUGAAGAGUUCACACUGUCGUUUAAACAUACUGAGCCUGCCCGACCACGAUUAAAGCUAAGUCGCAAAUGGAUCCUCACGUCUCCGAUGUAUCAUUACAGAAGACUUCGCCACAAACGGAUCCAGCGGAAAUGUAUCUUCUGAUGUCUGAAGUCUCGUCUCAAGCUGCCACUCUCGCUACACAUCAGCAACAGUUGCACAAGCUCACCACGCUGACGGAGGAGCUAGUGAGGUCGAUUCAGGCGCUGACCCUCACGACUACCAAUCCAACCCAGCACACCGCCCCAUCUGCCCAGCCCGCGCAACCAGUCAUGACGCCGCCUCAGCCUAACCUUAA